GUGGGGAAUCUUGCACAAUGGGCGAAAGCCUGACGCAGCCAUGCCGCGUGAAUGAUGAAGGUCUUAGGAUUGUAAAAUUCUUUCACCGGGGACGAUAAUGACGGUACCCGGAGAAGAAGCCCCGGCUAACUUCGUGCCAGCAGCCGCGGUAAUACGAAGGGGGCUAGCGUUGCUCGGAAUUACUGGGCGUAAAGGGAGCGUAGGCGGACAUUUAAGUCAGGGGUGAAAUCCCGGGGCUCAACCUCGGAAUUGCCUUUGAUACUGGGUGUCUUGAGUGUGAGAUAGGUAUGUGGAACUCCGAGUGUAGAGGUGAAAUUCGUAGAUAUUCGGAAGAACACCAGUGGCGAAGGCGACAUACUGGCUCAUUACUGACGCUGAGGCUCGAAAGCGUGGGGAGCAAACAGGAUUAGAAACCCGUGUAGUCC
rnacentral:rRNA from 1 species